CCUGGCCUUGACAUACUAAGAACUUUCCAGAGAUGGAUUGGUGCCUUCGGGAACUUAGAUACAGGUGCUGCAUGGCUGUCGUCAGCUCGUGUCGUGAGAUGUUGGGUUAAGUCCGCAACGAGCGCAACCCUUUUCCUUAUUUGCCAGCGGGUAAUGCCGGGAACUUUAAGGAUACUGCCAGUGACAAACUGGAGGAAGGCGGGGACGACGUCAAGUCAUCAUGGCCCUUACGGCCAGGGCUACACACGUGCUACAAUGGUCGGUACAAAGGGUUGCUACCUCGCGAGAGGAUGCUAAUCUCAAAAAGCCGAUCGUAGUCCGGAUCGCAGUCUGCAACUCGACUGCGUGAAGUCGGAAUCGCUAGUAAUCGCGGAUCAGAAUGCCGCGGUGAAUACGUUCCCGGGCCUUGUACACACCGCCCGUCACACCAUGGGAGUUUGUUGCACCAGAAGUAGGUAGUCUAACCGCAAGGAGGACGCUUACCACGGUGUGGCCGAUGACUGGGGUGAAGUCGUAACAAGGUAAGCGUAGAUGA
rnacentral:rRNA from 1 species